rnacentral:rRNA from 1 species
UACGAAGGGGGCUAGCGUUGUUCGGAAUCACUGGGCGUAAAGCGCACGUAGGCGGACUGUUAAGUCAGGGGUGAAAUCCUGGGGCUCAACCCCAGAACUGCCUUUGAUACUGGCGAUCUCGAGUCCGGGAGAGGUGAGAGGAACUGCGAGUGUAGAGGUGAAAUUCGUAGAUAUUCGCAAGAACACCAGUGGCGAAGGCGGCUCACUGGCCCGGUACUGACGCUGAGGUGCGAAAGCGUGGGGAGCAAGCAGG